rnacentral:rRNA from 1 species
GAUGAACGCUGGCGGCGUGCCUAAUACAUGCAAGUCGAGCGAACGGACGAGUAGCUUGCUUUUCUGAUGUUAGCGGCGGACGGGUGAGUAACACGUGGAUAACCUACCUAUAAGACUGGGAUAACUUCGGGAAACCGGAGCUAAUACCGGAUAAUAUUUUGAACCGCAUGGUUCAUAAGUGAAAGACGGUCUUGCUGUCACUUAUAGAUGGAUCCGCGCUGCAUUAGCUAGUUGGUAAGGUAACGGCUUACCAAGGCAACGAUGCAUAGCCGACCUGAGAGGGUGAUCGGCCACACUGGAACUGAGACACGGUCCAGACUCCUACGGGAGGCAGCAGUAGGGAAUCUUCCGCAAUGGGCGAAAGCCUGACGGAGCAACGCCGCGUGAGUGAUGAAGGUCUUCGGAUCGUAAAACUCUGUUAUUAGGGAAGAACAUAUGUGUAAGUAACUGUGCACAUCUUGACGGUACCUAAUCAGAAAGCCACGGCUAACUACGUG